rnacentral:rRNA from 1 species
CCCCAGCGCCACAAGUGGUUAUCACGAUUAUUGGGCCUAAAGCGUUCGUAGCUGGUUUGGUAAAUCUCUUGUGAAAUUGUUCGGCUUAACCGGACAGCGUGCAGGAGAGACUGCCAGACUCGAGACCGGGAGGGGUUAGAAGUAUUCCAUGGGGACUGGUAAAAUGGGAUAAUCCAUGGAAGACUACCGAUGGCGAAGGCAUCUAACCAGAACGGAUCUGACAGUGAGGAACGAAAGCCAGGGGAGCGAACCGGA